UUUACCUUAACCAGGUAACGAAUACUCUUCCUAAUGUCCCCGGGUGAGUCUAUCCUUGAUAUAUUCAUCUUAACCGAUGACGAAUAUUAUUCCCUUUGAGUCUAUCCUUGAUAUGCUCACUUUAACUAGUAAUGGAUAUUCUCUCCCUUCGGUCUUCUUCCCAGUAACCGGUAGUUGUAAAUCCUAUUUCUGCAGUUUUU
rnacentral:lncRNA from 1 species